GACGAACGCUGGCGGCGUGCCUAAUACAUGCAAGUAGAACGCUGAAGGAGGAGCUUGCUUCUCUGGAUGAGUUGCGAACGGGUGAGUAACGCGUAGGUAACCUGCCUGGUAGCGGGGGAUAACUAUUGGAAACGAUAGCUAAUACCGCAUAAGAGUAGAUGUUGCAUGACAUUUGCUUAAAAGGUGCAAUUGCAUCACUACCAGAUGGACCUGCGUUGUAUUAGCUAGUUGGUGAGGUAACGGCUCACCAAGGCGACGAUACAUAGCCGACCUGAGAGGGUGAUCGGCCACACUGGGACUGAGACACGGCCCAGACUCCUACGGGAGGCAGCAGUAGGGAAUCUUCGGCAAUGGACGGAAGUCUGACCGAGCAACGCCGCGUGAGUGAAGAAGGUUUUCGGAUCGUAAAGCUCUGUUGUAAGAGAAGAACGAGUGUGAGAGUGGAAAGUUCACACUGUGACGGUAUCUUACCAGAAAGGGGCGGCUAACUACGUG
rnacentral:rRNA from 1 species